rnacentral:rRNA from 1 species
UACGGGGGAAGCAAGCGUUGUUCGGAUUUACUGGGCGUAAAGGGCGCGUAGGCGGCCACCGCAAGUCGACUGUGAAAUCUCCGGGCUUAACUCGGAAAGGUCAGCCGAUACUGCGGGGCUAGAGUGCAGAAGGGGCAACUGGAAUUCUCGGUGUAGCGGUGAAAUGCGUAGAUAUCGAGAGGAACACCUGCGGCGAAGGCGGGUUGCUGGGCUGACACUGACGCUGAGGCGCGAAAGCUAGGGGAGCGAACGGG